UACGUAGGGUGCAAGCGUUAAUCGGAAUUACUGGGCGUAAAGGGCUCGUAGGCGGCCAACUAAGUCAGACGUGAAAUCCCUCAGCUUAACUGGGGAACUGCGUCUGAUACUGGAUGGCUUGAGUUUGGGAGAGGGAUGCGGAAUUCCUGGUGUAGCGGUGAAAUGCGCAGAUAUCAGGAGGAACACCGGUGGCGAAGGCGGAUCUCUGGGCCAUUACUGACGCUGAGGAGCGAAAGCGUGGGGAGCGAACAGG
rnacentral:rRNA from 1 species